ensembl:lincRNA
AUACUCAUAGAUGAGGAGCCGUCAGAAGAGUCCAGCUAACACAGCCUAGGCCUAUUUCAUCAUCCCACCAAACAAGAAGAUAGCCUGCUUCUUGCUUGACAGAUCAAGGAAGGAGGAGGUGGAGGAGAUGACAGAACAAGAUCUACUGAAAAGACAUCCACGGCCUGGUGGCAGGUGCCCAAGCCAUGUGCUCCCAAUACCCUCAACUGGAGUCUUUUUGCUAAAGAGACCUACGACGAACACAACAAAAUCAUAGGAAUCCAGGACUCCCCACUUGAAGGAUACUGAACUAGGAUGGAAAUUACCUCUACACCCCGAUUGCAUCUCCACUAUCCCCAGCCCAUUCCUCUGCUUUCCUUUUUGCACUACAGGUGAUUGCCUCCAGGGGGGCUCUGUACAUGGAGGUUGCAAACACUGGAGAUGUAGAAUCGAAUCCACCAGACAUGGUGGCACCAUGCUCGACCAUCUAAAAACUCGUUUUCACCUUCCCAUCGGCGAUCCCUGGGAAAAAGGAUUGUGAGCAGGAGUUGUGGGUAAGCUCUACACUAAUAACUAUGCUAAACACCCUGUAGUUGACCUACAUGUUUCUCUCCAGCUUG